GGCCCCAGGGCCACUGCCAGGGUAUAUGUGGGUGUGUCUCUGUCUGUGUGGGUGUGUGUGUUACAGGGUGAACUUCCUGGUGGAGUGGAGGCCAUCAGGCAGAUCCGACGCAGCUGGCCACUGUCCUGAGUGCAUUAAAACCUGCCCCUUUCGGAGUGUUUGGGCGACUUCUGGCUUUCUCCGGUUCCCCAGCGCAAUGGUGGUUUCGGUGGUCGAAUGGGUUAAAUUGGAGAAAUAAAACUGUUGGCUGACAAAUCCCUGUAGCGUGGUUUCUCGUAUUUGUUGUGGCCUUGGAGCCGGAUCAUAACAAAUUGGGGGCUCGUCAAACUUGGAAAUUGUACUAUUAGCAGAGGUAAAGUGAUGUGUUUUUUUUGUGUGGAAACCUACGUAAGGGAAAUGACCAAGCCGUGGAAUGAUUUGGAAUCAUUGGUGCAAGUUAGUUUCGGUCUAGUCACGGGACAAGGAAGGUAAGUGUUGACCUUUUUUUUGGGUUGCGCAAAUGUAUAUAUUGAGCAAAUUCCCCUGUAGGAAUAGCGCGUUUUCCUCUUUAGGAUGCGUGUGCACAGGAAUGUAGUGUGGGGUGAAAGUGGCUGGAGCAGUUGUCUCGGGAGCACGUCCAUGGUUGUGGCGAAGUUGCCAGCUUGCUGGUCGCUUAACCAAACUACUGGGUUUUAGUGCGUAAAUACCCGCCGCGAAUAACUCCUGAAGACUAGGGUUAAGUUAGAUAGAUCGGGUUAGGCAGUUUAGAGGGGAUGCUCAAUUUUGAGGUUAUUUUGUGGUCUGCGUUGCGCACUAUUUAGGUCAAUACUAUACAUUCUUUUGUUUACCGGGGACUGAUUUGCUGUCGGGCAUCCUUCAGGUGGUAUUCAUCAUCAUGGCAGGAGUAGAUGAGUUCAUUGCUAUUCCUUCAGAGCAAUUUUUGGAUCAGUGUACUAGGGAUCAGUUGUUAAAGAUAGCUGACCAUUAUAAAAUCAGUGUAGGCGACCGAAGGUUAAAGGAAAACAUUAGAUUUACUAUAAGGGCACAUUUGUAUGAUAUGGGUGUUUUAACACCUGCAACAAACCGAAAUGGCAAAGCUAGAUUUGGAAAGUGAGAGACUGAGGUUAGUUAAAGAAGGUAAAUUCAAUGACUUUUCCAGGAAUGAAGAGUUUGCUCGAAGCAGCGGUAAUUCAAGUGAUAUUUUGAAUAGUUUGCGCUUGGUGCCUAAAUUUAGUGAGAAAGACGUGGAUGUAUUCUUCACGUUGUUUGAGCGGAUUGCAGACACGAGGGGCUGGGUUGAUUCAGACCGUAUCGUUUUGCUACAA
ensembl:lncRNA